rnacentral:rRNA from 1 species
UACAGAGGUCUCAAGCGUUGUUCGGAUUCAUUGGGCGUAAAGGGUACGUAGGCGGCGCGGUAAGUCGGGUGUGAAAUCUUGGAGCUUAACUCCGAAACUGCAUUCGAUACUGCCGUGCUUGAGGACUGGAGAGGAGACUGGAAUUUACGGUGUAGCGGUGAAAUGCGUAGAUAUCGUAAGGAAGACCAGUGGCGAAGGCGGGUCUCUGGGCCGUAACUGACGCUGAGGAGCGAAAGCGUGGGGAGCGAACAGG